CUCACCCAAUGACUGCUGGGACAUCGUCUCCCCCCAGUGUCCUUGAAAAAUGAAUGAGGUGCUGGAGGAUGAAUUAAUGAAUAAAAGAAAAAAGAAAAGGACGGAGGAGAAGAAGGAGGAGCAGCUUAUUCAACAGGUUAAUAAAGUGAUAUCAGUGUUUCUCACAGACACAGACACAGACAGCGCCUCCACACAUGGCUGACGGAGCAGCAGCGGAGUGAAGAUGAAGGCGUCGUUUCAGCAGCAGCUUGUUCAUCAGCAGUGAUGAGAAGGAGCUGAGACGCUGCAGCGUUUUUAAUUAGUGUCUCUGCGCUGGUUCUGCCACUUAACUCUGCUGGACAUAAAAUCAAACCAGCAGUAAAACACACACACACACACACACACACACUCCGAGCUGCAGAACACCAAAUGACAUCCUAAACACACAAACAUAUAAAUAAUAAAUCACUCAGACUGAACAGCUGGAAAAAAAACCCCCAACAUUUCCAGGAGAUUUUCAACAGUUUUGACAUCAAGGAUCAACGGGUCAGUGAUGAGUUGUUGUUGUUGUUGUUGUUGUUGACUUUGUUGUUCUCUAUCCAGGUCCAACGUUUGUUCUUGGAUUCUUGUCAAAUCAACGUUUCAAAACAUAAAACCAGGUCUGACUGUCAGUGUGAACGCUGGCUCGUCUCUUUACGUGACCCUGUGUUGCCCCCCCCCUCCACCUCUCCUCCCCAGAUGACGGCUGGAAAUGGCUUUAACAGCAUCUUUAUCAUGUGAACCCACUUUGAGGAGUAAAAUGAUGUGAGAGAAACCAGUCGUCCACUCACACGUGAACCAGACUCUCCGCUCGUCCUUGUCUCUGUCACUGAUCUGACUGGUCCAGACCCUCCGGGCCUCUUUGUCCGCGGACGAAUCAUUUCGGCG